rnacentral:rRNA from 1 species
AUGCACGCUGGCGGCGUGCCUAAUACAUGCAAGUCGAGCGAACGGACGAGAAGCUUGCUUCUCUGAUGUUAGCGGCGGACGGGUGAGUAACGCGUGGAUAACCUACCUAUAAGACUGGGAUAACUUCGGGAAACCGGAGCUAAUACCGGAUAAUAUUUUGAACCGCAUGGUUCAAAAGUGAAAGACGGUCUUGCUGUCACUUAUAGAUGGAUCCGCGCUGCAUUAGCUAGUUGGUAAGGUAACGGCUUACCAAGGCAACGAUGCAUAGCCGACCUGAGAGGGUGAUCGGCCACACUGGAACUGAGACACGGUCCAGACUCCUACGGGAGGCAGCAGUAGGGAAUCUUCCGCAAUGGGCGAAAGCCUGACGGAGCAACGCCGCGUGAGUGAUGAAGGUCUUCGGAUCGUAAAACUCUGUUAUUAGGGAAGAACAUAUGUGUAAGUAACUGUGCACAUCUUGACGGUACCUAAUCAGAAAGCCACGGCUAACUACGUG